GCUGGGCAUGGUGGUGGGUGCCUGUAAUCUCAGCUACUUGGGAGGCUGAGGCAGGAUAAUCGCUUGAACCCAGGAGGUGAAGGCUGUAGUGAGCUGAGAUCGUGCCACUGCACUCCAGCCUGGGCAACAGAGUGAGAUUCUGUCUCAU
rfam:Homo sapiens chromosome 16, GRCh38 reference primary assembly.